rnacentral:lncRNA from 1 species
UUAUAGUAUGAUUAUCUUUCUUUCCCUAUUUUUGGUUGCAACAAAGGCUGAAUGUAAACCAUUUUUAACCAUUUAAAAUUUUCUUCUCUACUUCCCACACAAUAUAUUAUCCCAUUUUAGUUACACUUUUUAUUCUCUCUUUUUUUGUGACAAGGUAUUAUCCAUGUAAUACUGAUUCUGAUUGUCCACAAAAUAUGUGCUCCCCUGAUAUGGAACCGAGGUGUUGGACUGGAUAUUGUAGCAGUUGUUAUAUAAGGACUGGAAAUGAGUCGAGUCGAACCGAACCUGUCUGAACUCGACUCGAUAAGAAUUGGUUCGGCUCGAAACUCGGCUCGAGUUCGACACAAACUAUUUUUUCAGCUCGAGUUCACUCGUUUAAAGUCGCCAUUGGACAAUCUCUUCAACCUCAUCUGUACUUAAUGAUCUUGACAUCGCUACCAUGUCUUCAAAGUGUCAGUCUUUGUAUAAAUUAUUGUAUAACAUGUCAUACACCUAAUUUAUUUAACACCAUGCAGAAAAGUAAUAUAUAAAUCUUAUGGUAUAAGAAAUAAAAAAUAUGAUGAAUAGAGAUCUUUUGUUCCCAGACGGACAUUUGUAUAACGUGUAUACAAACUUGACUAUGUUUCUCUAGGUAAAUUUAAAUAUAAUAUGGCAUACACAAAUAUAAUUUAUUUAACACCAUAUAGAAAAGUAAUAUAUAAUAUGAGCAUGUCCAAAGCCGGCCCUAAUAUUUUUGGUGCCGUGAGUGAAAUAGUAAAUUGUGCUGUUUUAAUUAUUCAAAUAUUUUCUUCUUGUUGUAAAAUAUUCAUUUAUAAUCAAAGUUAUCUAAAAAUAUUUUUUCAAUAGAAUUAAUCAAAGCGAAUUAAAAAGAUAUAUAUCUAUAUAGUACUAACUAUUAAGUAAAAAUUAUAAUUUUGGUGCCCCUGAAAAAAUGGUGCCCUGGACUGUCGCCCCUUGCGCCCGCCCUCAGGACAACCCCUGAGCUUGUCUCUUGUAUACUUCCAGUCUAGUUUGGAGAGUUCCAAUCCGUUUAGGUCAUUUUCCAUUGGUCUUACCGUCCAUUUGCUCCAAAAUUAACCCCUAAAGAAUCAAAAGUCUUACAAAAUUAACCUAUAAACAAUCAACAAUCUUAUAAAAAGGCAUCAUAAACAGUAACAAAUAACCCUCUUGACAUAAAAAAGGCUC